rnacentral:lncRNA from 1 species
CAAUCUUCGAAAUUUGAACAAGUUCUUAUUAUAUUAAAGUUACAUGAUAUAAAAUGCUAAAGUUUUAGUUUUUUUACGAAAUUGUACGAUGAUACAGUAAAUGUAAAAUAUUUCACAUAUGAGGUGUUAUGUAUAUUAUGUCUCAGGGGCGGAUUAGGGGGGACUCCUGGAACUUAUGUUUGGACCCCCCUUUUCCCCCUUUUGAAAAUGGCUGGAUCUGCCCCUGUAUCUUGAUUUAAGAGUACUAAGUAACACAGGUACUUAUUUACAUGUAGGUUUCAAAGAAACACAAUAGCUGCAUUUGCAUAUUUAUGACACGGUAUUAUCGCUAAAUGUUUGUUAUCAUCCUCCUUUUGUAUACUUCAAAUUCAUAUUGUAUACCAGGCAGUACUGUUUAUUAUAUGUUGUGUCCACAUAUAUUAUACGUCGUUUGUUUUAAAAACAAUAUAUAAACCAUUAAGAUUAAGUCAAGACAAGACAAACCUAAAGAGGGAUCAGUUUGGCUUUGGACAGGCGAGUGAAGAUGUCCAAAAUAUGAAUAAAAAAAUAAUUGAAAAAAAUGUAUAACAAUCAACAAUUGACUAAGCUGUUUGAACAUACAUAUCAGCUAUAGAACUUGUACAUGAGCAUAUGGAUCCAGUAGAUACUUUGUUUACAUUUUCUCAUACAAAUAAAAACUAGAUAAACAAGUCAAAUAUAAAGAAAUACUCACGUAAAAGAUUCCUGAUGUUUCCUCCUGUUUUGGUAUGAUUCUUUCUCUAAAUAAAAUUCUCAUUGCAAUUUAUAAAACAGAAAAAUUUGAUGUUUU